rnacentral:lncRNA from 1 species
GAAGACAGGCAGAGACUGGGGUAAUGCAGCUACAAGGGAAUGUCAGAGAUUGCUAGCAAACACCAGAAGCUGGAAGAGGCAAUUAAGGAUUGCUCCCUAGAGCUUUUAGAGGGAGGACGGCUCUGCCACCUGCCUUGUUCUUGGACUCCUAGCCUCCAGAAUUAGGUCACCUGUUGGGCAAUAUCACCAUAGACUGAAUACAGAAGCAGAUAUUAGCCUCCAGCCUCCUGCUCAUCUGGACACUAGAGAGAGUGAGGUCAGCUAAAAACAAGAAAGAAAUUUAAAGCAUCCUGGGAAGUCAUCAUACCCUUUUUCUCCAAGAAAAUCUAGUUUUGCUUGUUUUUGUGUAUCCCACAACACCUGUGUUUGACUAUCUUUUUCACUUUGGAUUUGGAUUUUGGUGUGAUAUACACAGUUCCAAAAAAUCAAUGGAUAGAAAACUCAAUGGCAUAAAUAAGUGCUUAAAACAAUACUUCAAGAAAUGUUCAACAUUCCACGAGAACAAUAUCCACGUGAGAUGAAAAGAAAAGUCUAAGUUAGUUCCUGAUUCCUGGAAGCUGGGAAAGUCUCAUUCCAGUAACUACUUAAUACCCCCUGUCAGUCUCCUUCAAAGGCUGAAGCCAGCCUCUGACUGAAGCGCAGCCGCAAUGUUUCCUGUCUGGUGCCAGCACAGCUUGCCUGGACUUCUGAAAAUUGCAAGCGCUUGCUCCUUGCUAGUCACCACACUCCCCCUUUCUUAGUUGCAGACUCCCUCUUGCUGUGGUUUACCAGGUGCCCUUAUUGCCCCUCAUGCUUGUGUGCCACUUUGGACUUAAUCUGGCACACUUAACUCCCUUCAUCUACGCCUGAAGCUGGACAAGCUGAAGUGACUGCGUCACUUUCUCAAUUCUGGCUCCUGCCCACCGACCUUGCUCUGCUAGGAGGAAUUAGCUCUGCCUGGCCAGAACCCAAGAAGUGACAAAUCAAACUCGCUCAAUAGGUGGUAAUUAAACUUCUGGCUCUAAAGCCCAGAAUAGGUUGUCAAUGGGAUUUCACAGUGGCUCCCUGACACUAAGCAAGGAUGUAUUUCUACAUCUAGUUUUAAAUCUUAAACUCUAAUAGGAUUCUCAGAAAAGACAGUAAAGACUAAGGCCAAAAAAAGUUGUUUAAAGGGGAAAAUGACAGUAAGUACAAAAGAUAAUCUGGGGAAGACCUGGCAAUUCUGAAAUCAAAACAUCUGUUACUAAGUGGAUCAUGACUGCUUAGUUUCUAGGUGAGCUGAAUAAAAAUACUAACUGAA